GGGAAUUUGUUUUGGUUGUCGCUGCUAACGAUGAUUAGGAUAUUUGUUUGUCCAAUUCUCU
rnacentral:tRNA from 1 species